rnacentral:rRNA from 1 species
CAUCGAGUUGUAAUUUGAAGAUGGCGUUUUCUGUGUUUCUGAUCAGUCCAAGUCCUUUGGGAUAAGGCAUCAUGGAGGGUGAGAAUCCCGUUCGGUUGAUCAGAUUCGCUUUACGAUACCUCACCAAAGAGUCAAGUUGUUUGGGAUUGCAGCUUAAAAUGGGAGGUAAAUUUCUUCCUAAGGCUAAGUGACGGCGAGAGACCGAUAGCGAACAAGUACC